ACUCAAAUGAAUUGACGGGGACUUGCACAAGCGGUGGAUCAUGCGGCUCAAUUCGAUGGCAAACGAAGAACCUCACCAGGGUUUGCACCCAGACGACCGGCUAGGAAACUAGUCUUCCGCAAGGCGGCUGGGCAGGUGAUGCAUGGUCGUCGUCAGUUCGUGGCUUGAGUUGUUCCCUUCAGUGGGGUAACGAACGCAACCCGCGUUGCCUGUUUUAAAUGUCAGGCGAGACUGCCCUCUCACGAGGGAGGAAGGUGCGGAUGACGCCAGAUCAGCAUGUCCCUCUGAUAUCCUGGGCUGCACGCAUGAUACAAUGGGCGCAACAACGAGACGCAAUACGGUAACGUGGAGCAAAUCUUGAAAUGCGCCCCCAGUUCGGAUUGAGGUCUGCAACUCGACCUCAUGAAGCCGGAAUCGCUAGUAAUCGCGGGUCAGCUAUACCGCGGUGAAUACGUUCUCAAGUCUUGUACACACCGCCCGU
rnacentral:rRNA from 1 species